GACACAGGGAGGUAGUGACAAGAAAUAACAAUACAGGGCUUUCGUCUUGUAAUUGGAAUGAUGGUGAUGUACAACCUCACCAGAGUACCAAUUGGAGGGCAAGUCUGGUGCCAGCAGCCGCGGUAAUUCCAGCUCCAAUAGCGUAUAUUAAACUUGUUGCAGUUAAAAAGCUCGUAGUUGUAUUUCAGCCUCGCGUUUUUUCCCUCUUUUUGGGUCUUUUCGCUGGCUUUCUUUUUACUUUGAGAAAAUUAGAGUGUUUCAAGCAGACUUUUGUCUUGAAUACUUCAGCAUGGAAUAAUAGAGUAGGACCUUGGUUCUAUUUUGUUGGUU
rnacentral:rRNA from 1 species